UGUUAAAUGGCACUUUGCCUGAGUUUGGUC
rnacentral:piRNA from 1 species